UACGAAGGGGGCUAGCGUUGCUCGGAAUCACUGGGCGUAAAGGGUGCGUAGGCGGGUCUUUAAGUCAGGGGUGAAAUCCUGGAGCUCAACUCCAGAACUGCCUUUGAUACUGAAGAUCUUGAGUUCGGGAGAGGUGAGUGGAACUGCGAGUGUAGAGGUGAAAUUCGUAGAUAUUCGCAAAAACACCAGUGGCGAAGGCGGCUCACUGGCCCGAUACUGACGCUGAGGAGCGAAAGCGUGGGGAGCGAACAGG
rnacentral:rRNA from 1 species